rnacentral:rRNA from 1 species
GCCAACGAUCUGUAGCUGGUCUGAGAGGAUGAUCAGCCACACUGGGACUGAGACACGGCCCAGACUCCUACGGGAGGCAGCAGUGGGGAAUUUUGGACAAUGGGCGAAAGCCUGAUCCAGCCAUUCCGCGUGCAGGAUGAAGGCCCUCGGGUUGUAAACUGCUUUUGUACAGAACGAAAAAGCUCUGGCUAAUACCUGGAGUCCAUGACGGUACUGUAAGAAUAAGCACCGGCUAACUACGUGCCAGCAGCCGCGGUAAUACGUAGGGUGCAAGCGUUAAUCGGAAUUACUGGGCGUAAAGCGUGCGCAGGCGGUUUUGUAAGACAGAGGUGAAAUCCCCGGGCUCAACCUGGGAACUGCCUUUGUGACUGCAAGGCUGGAGUGCGGCAGAGGGGGAUGGAAUUCCGCGUGUAGCAGUGAAAUGCGUAGAUAUGCGGAGGAACACCGAUGGCGAAGGCAAUCCCCUGGGCCUGCACUGACGCUCAUGCACGAAAGCGUGGGGA